rnacentral:rRNA from 1 species
GUUGGGCCUGCUCGGUGAGAAGAAAAAUUUAACAGCUGCGGUAUUAUAACUGUACUAAGGUAGCAUAAUAAUUUGCCUUAUAAAUUAAGGCUAGAAUGAAUGGUUUGACGAAAAUUAGACUGUCUUUAUUUUAUUUGUUAGAAAUUAAUUUUUAUAGUGAAAAAGCUUGAAUAAUUUAAGGGGACGAGAAGACCCUAUUGAGCUUUAUUUAUUAAUAUUUAAAUAUAAAUAUAUAAUUUAUAUUAUGAAAAUUAUGUUGUAUAUAUAUAUAUAUAUAUUUAAUUGGAUUUAAUUUUGAUUGGGGUGAUCAAGGAAUAAAGAUAAAGUAACUUCCUUAAAAUUAAUGAUUGUUUUUAUAGAGUAAUAAACCAAGUUUUUUGCUUAUAAGAUAAGUUACCAUAGGGGUAACAGCGUAAUUUUUUUUGAGAGUUCAUAUUGAAAAAAGAGAUUGCGACCUCGAUGUUGGAUUAAAAAUUACCUUAAGG